AAGCUAGUUCUGGCAGCUUGUGUACUAAAACUGGAACAAUAUACACAAGAUUAGCAUGGCCCCUAUGAAAAGAUGGCUAUAAAUCCAAAAAAUAUUCAAUAUCUUUUU